rnacentral:rRNA from 1 species
UGGGGAAUUUUGGACAAUGGGGGAAACCCUGAUCCAGCCAUCCCGCGUGUGCGAUGAAGGCCUUCGGGUUGUAAAGCACUUUUGGCAGGAAAGAAACGUCAUGGGUUAAUACCCCGUGAAACUGACGGUACCUGCAGAAUAAGCACCGGCUAACUACGUGCCAGCAGCCGCGGUAAUACGUAGGGUGCAAGCGUUAAUCGGAAUUACUGGGCGUAAAGCGUGCGCAGGCGGUUCGGAAAGAAAGAUGUGAAAUCCCAGAGCUCAACUUUGGAACUGCAUUUUUAACUACCGGACUAGAGUGUGUCAGAGGGAGGUGGAAUUCCGCGUGUAGCAGUGAAAUGCGUAGAUAUGCGGAGGAACACCGAUGGCGAAGGCAGCCUCCUGGGAUAACACUGACGAUCAUGCACGAAAGCGUGGGGAGCAAACAGG